GGCUGACCGAGGCACGCAGGGAGUUUGACUGGGACGGUCGCCUCCUAUACAGUACCGGAGGCCCCUAUAGGUACACUCACCUCUGACGGACAC
rnacentral:rRNA from 1 species